rnacentral:rRNA from 1 species
AAAUGAAUAGACGGGGGCUCACACAAGCGGUGGAUCAUGUGGCUUAAUUCGACGAUAAGCGGGGAACCUUACCAGGGCUUGACAUUCAUUCGAAAUCCUUCUGAAAGGAAGGACCUCCUUCACGGGACGGAUGGACAGGUGCUGCAUGGUUGUCGUCAGCAUGUGCCGUGAGGUGCACGCUUAAAUGCGGUAACAUGCGCAACCCUCAUUCUAUGUUUCAAGUGUCAUAGAAGACUGCCCGAGACAAUCGGGAGGAAGGUGAGGAUGACGCCAAAUCAGCAUGGCCCUUUGACGCUCUGGGCUGCACACAUGAUACAAUGGUCGGGACAACGGGCAGCGAACUCGUAAGGGGAAGCUAAUCCCAUCAAACCCGAUCUCAGUUCGGAUUGAGGUCUGCAACUCGACCUCAUGAAGCCGGAAUCGCUAGUAAUCGCUAAUCAGCUACGUAGCGAUGAAUAUGUUCCUGAGCCUUGUACACACCGCCCGU